GCCGACAUCUGAGGGGAAAUGAGAGAUAAAGGGGUGCUGCGCUUGUCCCAGUGCCUCUAAUUCGUGCGUGUGUCCGUGGAAACGCCUGCGUUAGUCACUGAGCAGGGAUCUGCGCUCUGGCAAAUGAAAUAAAUCACAGGGCCACAGAACGGUUUGGGUUGGAAGGGACUUUAAAGAUCAUCUAGUUAGAAUCAUGGAAUCGUCCGGGUUAGAAGUGACCUUGAAGAUAUCCAGUCCAACUGUUCAUCGAGCACAGUCAGUGUAACCCCUAAACCACAUCACCCAGCUCCUCCUGAACACCUCAGGGAUGGUGACUCCACCACCUCCCUGCGAACCUAUUCCUAAUGCUUAAUUACCUAAGCAGUGAAAAAAAUAUUUCUGAUAUCUAAUCUGAAUGUCCCCUGUCAGCCUAAAGCCAUUCCCUCUGAUCGUCUGAGUGCAGGCACGGCAGAGAGUGUUCCCACCCCCCUGCACCCUCCUCCAGGUCAGUGAUGCGGACAGCGAUGAAGGCCCCCCUGAGCAUCCUUCUCUUGAGACUACAAACCCCCAGCUCCCUCAGCCAUUCCUCAGAAGAGUUCUCUGUCCAGCACCUCAAUGUUCUUUUCAAAGUGAAGGGCCCAGCACUCAGUGUAGCUCUUGUGGUGUGGUUGCACCAAUGCUGAGAACAGGGGGAUGAUCUCUUUCCUGGUCCUGCUGGUCCCUGCAAAUAUAAAUCAUAACACUUGGCCUUUCUUUGCUGAUUAAUACUAUUAUGUUGUUCUAGUUAUUGUGGUGGGGGUUUUAAGGCAUUUUUGGGAGUAUUUUCUUAAACAUCUUCAUAGAUAAGCUUGACUCAGUAUAUAGACAUGGGUCUACUUCAGUUUCCCUAAACCAGUUUUUCAGUUGGACUACAGACUGUAACUAUGCACAAGCUAUCUUUCAAAAUAUAUGUUUAAAAUACAUAAUACUUCAAUUGAACAUCAAUAAAUAAUAUUUGAACUCUUGAACAAUUUUCUAUUCUUUGUGUGACAUGUAGAGUGCUGUCAAAUUUGCGUUGCAAAUUCAAUAUGACCAAUUUGCUUUCGGAUGCUGACACAGAAAGGCUCAAAAGAGAAUCCUGACAAGACUGGGUCCAUUGAACACUGCAGUACACAAAUACAUGGAACUCAGCAUUCCAGAAUACUGCAAGAUGUUGCCUUGCAUUUUUGUUUUGAGAGUUCUGCUUGUCCAGAUGAUCAGAUUUCUGCUUUCCUACCUAUUAUUGUGUAUCUACGUCAAUUGUUAGUCAACACUGAAAAUGAUAAUCCUGUGGGAGGUGAAAAUCUGGCACCAGUAUUCCCUCAGCAGUGUGGAUUAGGUUACAGCCCAUCACAUCACCGUACACGUUGUGCCAGUCUAAGAAGGAUUGAAAGAACAAUUAUUAAUAGAAUUAUGAAAAAAAACAAGGCCCAGUUUGGUGGGAUGUCAAGGAAAAAAUCCUGAUAGGAUCAAACCCUCACUGGCACCAGAAACACUUUAUUUUUAAGGACUUGGAAGGUUUCAGUAAGUGAAAGACUGACACCAGGUUGCUACAACAACAUGUGGAAGUCAUGUUGCUGGAGGCCAAAAGACUGAAAACCUUCCACUUUUCCCUACAAUCAA